rnacentral:rRNA from 1 species
CAAACCCUUUGGUACGGAAUAGCCUCGGGAAACUGGGAGUAAUACCGUAUGUGCCCUUCGGGGGAAAGAUUUAUCGCCAAAGGAUUGGCCCGCGUUGGAUUAGGUAGUUGGUGGGGUAAUGGCCUACCAAGCCGACGAUCCAUAGCUGGUUUGAGAGGAUGAUCAGCCACACUGGGACUGAGACACGGCCCAGACUCCUACGGGAGGCAGCAGUGGGGAAUCUUAGACAAUGGGGGAAACCCUGAUCUAGCCAUGCCGCGUGAUCGAUGAAGGCCUUAGGGUUGUAAAGAUCUUUCAGUUGGGAAGAUAAUGACGGUACCAACAGAAGAAGCCCCGGCUAACUCCGUGCCAGCAGCCGCGGUAAUACGGAGGGGGCUAGCGUUAUUCGGAAUUACUGGGCGUAAAGCGCACGUAGGCGGAUUAGAAAGUCCAAGGUGAAAUCCCCGGGCUCAACCUUGGAACUGCCUUUGAAAAUUCCCAACCUUGAGGUCCAGAGAGGGGAGUGGAAUUCCGAGUGUAGAGGUGAAAUUCCGUAAUUUUUCGAGGAACACCAGUGGCGAAAGCGGCUCACUGGCUUCGAUACUGACGCUGAAGUGCGAAAGCGUGGGGGAGCAACAGGAAUAGAUACCCCGGGUGUCCCCGCCCCAAACAAAGAAUGCCCACCCCCGGGGUAACAUGCCUUUUCGUGCCCCCCCUAACGGAUUAAAAAUUCCCCCCUGGGGGAAUCCGCCCGCCCGGGUUAAAACUCAAGGAAUUUAACGGGGG